UCAGCUUGUUGGUGAGGUAAAGGCUCACCAAGGCGACGACGGGUAUCCGGCCCGAGAGGGCGACCGGACACACUGGGACUGAACACGGCCCAGACUCCUACGGGAGGCAGCAGUGGGGAAUAUUGGGCAAUGGACGAAAGUCUGACCCAGCGACGCCGCGUGAGGGAUGAAGGCCUUCGGGUUGUAAAUCUCUUUCAGUAGGGAAGAAGCGAAAGUGACGGUACCUAAAGAAGAAGCACCGGCUAACUAUGUGCCAGCAGCCGCGGUAAUACAUAGGGUGCAAGCGUUGUCCGGAAUUAUUGGGCGUAAAGAGCUCGUAGGUGGUUUGUUGCGUCGGGUGUGAAAUUCAGGGGCUCAACCCCUGACCUGCACUCGAUACGGGCAGACUAGAGUUUGGUAGGGGAGACUGGAAUUCCUGGUGUAGCGGUGGAAUGCGCAUAUAUCAGGAGGAACACCAAUGGCGAAGGCAGGUCUCUGGGCCAAUACUGACACUGAGGAGCGAAAGCGCGGGGAGCGAACAGGAUUAGAUACCCUGGUAGUCCGCGCCG
rnacentral:rRNA from 1 species